GGUUCUAUAGUGUAGUGCUCAUCACGUCUGCUUUAAACACAGAGGGUGCUUGGUUCAAUUCCCAGUGAAGCCA
rnacentral:tRNA from 1 species